AUGAUUAAUCUCCAAUUUAGGUUCUUAUCCCUGGGCAGGCUCACAGGGGUAUUGGUAUCCACAAUACUCCACCAAUUAUACAUUUCUUCCCUGACCCCUGCUGCAGUGUCUUUCUCUGGGGCUGAUGACACCACUCUGCUGUUCGAGGGACGCUUCAAGUGUGGCAACUUGCUGAAAGCAACAAGAGUUGGUGAAUUUGAUUACGAGCUCUCUCUGCGCACCAACUUGUACACUCGGUGGUUCUACUUCCAGGUGAGGAACACCAGCGUGUAGGUGCGUUACCGCUUCAACAUCACCAAACUGCUGAAGGUGACCAGCCUGUAUGAGGAGGGGAAGCUACCCCUGCUCUACUCUGAGGAGAAGGCCCAUGUCCAGGGGGUGGGCUGGCAUCUUGUGGGUCAACAGGCCUCCUACCAAUGUAACGGGCGCAAGCACACCAACCUGCCCUGCUACACCCUCUUCUGGAUCUUCUGCUUCUCCUACUACCAAGUAAAGAACAUGAGAGAAUGUGCUCCAGCGCGGCUUCCGGGUUGGAUGUGAAAUGUGUGAAAAGAAGCAGUGAGGCUUGGUUGGGUUGUGUUCCGGAGGACGCAUGGCUCUCCACCUUCGCCUCUCCCGUCUUGUUGCAGCGAUGAGACAGGACUGUAACUACUACCAAUUUGAUACCACAACAUUGGGGAGGAAUAAAAAGACUGCAUGUUAUUUCAGCCUGUUUUGGUGGGAUGGAGUUUUAGCCUGCCUGGUGACAUCACCAGGAGGUACAGUAUAUUAGUUAAUAGACCCUAAACACGGUAAGGUACUUAAUUGUUAGCCAGAAAUUAUAUGAUAUUGAGAUAAAACAGCUGCAUUGGACCUUUAAAUUAAUUGUCUUUAUCUUAUUCAAGCAACAUGUCUUAGAAGA
rnacentral:lncRNA from 8 species